rnacentral:rRNA from 11 species
GCCUAAGGUCUAAACACCAUAAAGGCACCAGAUCCUGUGUGAUCUUGGAAACUAAACAGGAUCAGCUCUGGUUAGUACAUGGAUGAGAAAUUGCUGAUGAAUGCCAAAUGGUGUAGACU